rnacentral:rRNA from 1 species
CCUACGGGUGGCAGCAGUGGGGAAUCUUGCACAAUGGGGGAAACCCUGAUGCAGCGACGCCGCGUGAGUGAAGAAGUAAUUCGUUACGUAAAGCUCUAUCAGCAGGGAAGAAACACUGACCUUACGGUCAGCAGACGGUACCUGAGUAAGAAGCCCCGACUAACUACGAACCAGCAGCCGCGGUAAUCCGUAGGGGGCAAGCGUUAUCCGGAUUUACUGGGUGUAAAGGGAACGUAGACGGUGCGCCAAGUCUGGAGUGAAAUGCCGCGGCUUAACUGGAGAAGUGCUUUGGAAACUGGGGGACUAGAGUGCGGGAGAGGAAAGCGGAACUCCAAGUGUAGCGGUGAAAUGCGUAGAUAUAAGGAGGAACACCAGUGGCGAAGGCGGCUUUCUGGACUGUAACUGACGUUGAGGUUCGAAAGCGUGGGGAGCAAACAGGAUUAGAUACCCGUGUAGUC